rnacentral:rRNA from 1 species
AGUGAACGCUGGCGGUAGGCCUAACACAUGCAAGUCGAACGGCAGCACAGUAAGAGCUUGCUCUUACGGGUGGCGAGUGGCGGACGGGUGAGGAAUACAUCGGAAUCUACUUUUUCGUGGGGGAUAACGUAGGGAAACUUACGCUAAUACCGCAUACGACUUACGGGUGAAAGCAGGGGAUCUUCGGACCUUGUGCGAUUGAAUGAGCCGAUGUCGGAUUAGCUAGUUGGCGGGGUAAAGGCCCACCAAGGCGACGAUCCGUAGCUGGUCUGAGAGGAUGAUCAGCGACACUGGAACUGAGACACGGUCCAGACUCCUACGGGAGGCAGCAGUGGGGAAUAUUGGACAACGGGCGCAAGCCUGAUCCAGCCAUACCGCGUGGGUGAAGAAGGCCUUCGGGUUGUAAAGCCCUUUUGUUGGGAAAGAAAAGCAGCAGGUUAAUACCCCGCUGUUCUGACGGUACCCAAAGAAUAAGCACCGGCUAACUUCGUG